ensembl:lncRNA
GAGAGACAGAGACAGAGACAAAGACAGACAGACAGAGACAGAGACAGAGACAGAGACAGAGACAGAGAGAUCGAGAGAACGCUUGUCCUUGUGCUGCAGACCCCACCACUCAAUUCCAGGGCAUCCGCAAGUGUGAGGUCCCAGGCUGGAAACCGGUGCCAGUCUGAACCGGGGACCACGGGGCUUAAGGUUAUCUGGGGUCCCAGCCCCAGCCCCGGGGCAGCUGGCGGGAACACGUGGGUCCGGUCAGGCUCGGUCCCACUGGGGUCCCUGGACUGUCCUCUCCUUGCGUUCGAACUUUCGAAUUCCUGCACGGUGUGGCGACACCGCGUGCCACAGCAAGUUCGAUGGCGAAUGCGAGGGCGGCAGGAACCCGGGGGCUUCUGGUGCGCCCCUCGCCUGCCGGGACUCGAGGCUGGGGUCAGGGGUACAUACCGGGCACCGUCGCGAGUCCCGAGGGCGGCCGCGCUGGGUCCGGGUUCAGCCGUGGCAUCCACGCGCGACUCGGGCUCUCGCAGCCGCGCUGCCCCCUUUAACUUUCCGGCCACCACUCGGAACGGCAGCCCAGACCCUUUUUCACGUGAACGCCCCCCGUACCCGCCGACCAAUAGCGGCGGCCGCGGGGAGCAGUGCUCCGCCUCGUGCUAGGCAGCGUGCCUGGAGUGACAGGGCUGCAGUCCAGGGGCAUAGGCAGGGUGACUCCUUCCUGGAGGACGUCCCGUUACCCCGAAAGGACCGGCUGCCGGCAGCGUGCAAAGUUCUCCAGCCUAAGCGAGGUUCUAGCCAGCCAAGGCGUUGGGAAAGACGGGGCAAUUGUGCACUCCCUGCCUUCCUGAGACUCUAGCCUAGCCCGGGGCUUACAGGUGACAGUUACCUCCCCAGCACGUGCAGAGCUGAAGGGUCCUUGAGAUAACAGCAGGUACGUUUCGCUGGGCUUCAGGAGAGUCAGCCCCUACGACAGUGCCCAGAGUCACGUGCCCAUCAUGCUCAGGUGUUAGCUAUGGAAAUUAGAGUAACGUGUUUUACAGUACAUAGAGUUAGUAUUCGGGAGAGGACCGCCGCCCACCGCACACAGCACGACGGUUUCUCAGUUUGUUUCUUCUGAAGCCUCAAGGCCUAAUGGAGUCUGAAGGUACAGCCGUACAAUUUCAUGGCAUCUCAAUCUUGAGCAGUGAUUGCUUGAUUGCUCAGACUCAGAGGAGUCCUAUUUGAGAGUCAGCUUGGAGAGCCUAUCAGGGGGUGAUCUCCCUUCUUCCCAUACCUUUUCCAAGGAGAUCAAAACCUCCUUCAAAGGUUAUGCCUGCCACAAUGAGAUGACAACCUUCUCUGAAGGAAAUGUUUUAGGCUCUUCGGCCAACAACCUCCCUACCAUUGAAGAACCUGAGGAAAUAGAGUCUAAGAAGAUGCAUCAACAGGAGAUAUGAAACUCAGGACAAUACAAGCCAAGUUUGCAAAUCAAGCCUCAACUUCAGACUCUGAUGAUGAAGUCUCAGCAGCUGAUCAGAAUGUCACUGGCAACAACCAGCAAAUGGAUAAGAAUCCAAAACUCAGAGGGCACAGAAUGAACCUCAUGAAUAGCUGGCCAGAAAUACAGCUUGUCCUUCCUGAGUCUGCUGAGAAAAGUAAAAAUGAUGACAGUGAAAAUCAGAAGGACAAUGAAGAAAUUGAGAGCAGUGAUGAAGAAUAUCAAGAACCUGAUGAACAUAUUCAGAAAUAUGACAAAGACAAUAGCCUCUAGCUCCAGGAAUCACUCGAGGAAGAUUUCCAGCAGGGCAGCACCUCCCCUCCACAUCCAGCUCAGGUCCCUCAUGAAGACCCCACCCAAGUCCCAGAGAUGCCGCCUAUGCUCAAGGAAGAUGAAGUUGCUGAGGAGAUGGUAAGUGAAAGACCAACAGUCAAAAGACCACCAUAAAGAUUCCUCCUCAGUCCCUCAGUACAGUCAGAGGAGGAGGACGACACUGGCCUGACACACAAACCAUAACCUAUAUGAACUAUAGGCAGGCUUUCUGCUGGCUCCGGAAAAGAGUUCUUGCUUGUUUUGGAGGAGAGUGAUGGUCAGCAGCCCACCAGCAAUCCCAACCAAGAAAAGAAGUUCUCAAGAACUUGUUCCUAAGUUCCAUGAACUUUUCAAAUCACACCAGGAUGCUGCUGCUCCUGUCUUUACAAAGAAGGGGAAGGUGACAGAAGUGUUGCAAGUGGUAAUUGACUGAGGCGGGAGGCCUCAUGUGCGUAGAUUUCUUGGCAUGAAUUGAGUUCAUGUGAGAAAUGGAUAUCUCACACCAAGAGAGUUCCUGAAAGUUGUGAAGAUGCAAUAAGCAGGCCUCUGGCUACCCUGAUCCUUUCCAGAGCAUUAUAGACGCCUCUGAGGCCAUUAGGCUCUGGAGUUUGCUAGCUUUCUUCUGCUUUUGGAAAUACUGCCUUGGCUGCCUGAUUAACUGGGAGAAACAACCUGCACACUAAGUCCAUUGUUCUGAGAGAUUCCUAUAGGAUGUGUUCCUUGGCCAAAGCCAUAUCCCAAGGGGAAUGGCUGUUGGCUUUUUGGCAGGAGAAUAAGGUCAUGCUGCGAUAAG